UGAGGAAUAUUGCACAAUGGGCGAAAGCCUGAUGCAGCGACGCCGCGUGAGGGAUGACGGCCUUCGGGUUGUAAACCUCUUUCGCCCGGGACGAAGCGAGAGUGACGGUACCGGGAGAAGAAGCACCGGCUGACUACGUGCCAGCAGCCGCGGUAAUACGUAGGGCGCGAGCGUUGUCCGGAAUUAUUGGGCGUAAAGAGCUCGUAGGCGGCUUGUCGCGUCGGUUGUGAAAGCCCGGGGCUUAACCCCGGGUCUGCAGUCGAUACGGGCAGGCUAGAGUUCGGUAGGGGAGAUCGGAAUUCCUGGUGUAGCGGUGAAAUGCGCAGAUAUCAGGAGGAACACCGGUGGCGAAGGCGGAUCUCUGGGCCGAUACUGACGCUGAGGAGCGAAAGCGUGGGGAGCGAA
rnacentral:rRNA from 1 species